GUUGAAAGCUAAAAGGAAACUUACCCUUGGACCACAGAAGGCACAGGCACUUGUUGAGAUGGAAACAAGGAUGUGUGAAAAUGAGACUACCACCUCUUGGAUAAAAAAAAAAAGUGCCAGAGUUCUAGGGUUCUAAGUGAUGUCCAGGAAAGAGGAGGAAUUAUAUUUAUGGAGCAUAUAUUGUGGAACACAGUGAUGACUGAAAAAGGGAACCUGUGCUACUAUUUGUACCAUCAUCUUCACGAAAAUCAAAAAAUGCUUUUUAUGAUGUAUGGAGACACUCUUCAUGUGUGUUUCAGUGGACAUUCCUUGCAGAUACAAAAAACUGAGAAAGCUCACUUUUGGAAAGUGACCUAAAAAGUGUCAUUGAAGUGAAUUUUCAGUAGGCACGACGAUUGUUUUCAUGGUUGCUGUUGGAUCAUGUCUCAGGAGCUGGAAUGACAGACAUUACUGAACAAAGAAAUCAGGAUAGUGAAACUUAAAGAGUUUCAUCUCAGUGCUUUCAUAAGUAUGAAGUGCAUAUAUUUAUAAUUUUCACUAAUCACAGGGUAAAUAUAAAAUUGAUUCAUUAAAAAUGUUUCAUAAGAAUUCAAAGGACAUAGAAUUUUGUGAAAUGUAGUAGUUUUACUUAAAUGCCUUUCUCUAUUUCUACCCCCGAGCCAAUUUUUUAGAAACUAGUUGAUACAUAAGUAGUUUUGGGGGGAUGAUAUACAUUUUCUAUAUAGUAAACAUGUACUUGGAUGUGUGUGGAUGUGUAUCUAAUUAGUUUGUUGGAGUGAUUCCUAUGGUUUGGAACUGCUGGGGCCAUGUUUAGGCAAAAAUCUAUAUUUUUGAGUAAACUCCCCAUGACUAGAGCAAAUUUCCCCAGUAUUUGAGAAUUCUUCAUUUCCUAAAGCUGUACAAACAUCAGAUAAUCAAUAUUCGUAAGGAUCGAUAAUGUAAUUUAUAAUGAAAUUGCUUUCUGAGCUAUUAAUGUUAACUAUAUCAUCUUAAUAGUGCCUUAAAACUCAUUUGUGCUAUUCCAUUUUCCUCUGUUCCUUUUAUGUUCACUUCCUUUCUAAUGUUAGUCUCCUCGUACUGAUUUCUGAAGAGUUCAUUUGUGAUUACAGAUGUUAACAUUUUGUCUAGAAUAGCAAAUAUGUUUUUUCUCAUUCGUUUUACUAUGGUG
ensembl:lncRNA